rnacentral:rRNA from 1 species
CCUACGGGUGGCAGCAGUGGGGAAUAUUGGACAAUGGGCGAAAGCCUGAUCCAGCCAUACCGCGUGUGUGAAGAAGGCCUUCGGGUUGUAAAGCACUUUCAGUGGGGAAGAAAGCCUUGGGGCUAAUACCCUCGAGGAAGGACAUCACCCACAGAAGAAGCACCGGCUAACUCCGUGCCAGCAGCCGCGGUAAUACGGAGGGUGCGAGCGUUAAUCGGAAUUACUGGGCGUAAAGCGCGCGUAGGCGGUCUGAUAAGCCGGUUGUGAAAGCCCCGGGCUCAACCUGGGAACGGCAUCCGGAACUGUCAGGCUAGAGUGCAGGAGAGGAAGGUAGAAUUCCCGGUGUAGCGGUGAAAUGCGUAGAGAUCGGGAGGAAUACCAGUGGCGAAGGCGGCCUUCUGGACUGACACUGACGCUGAGGUGCGAAAGCGUGGGUAGCAAACAGGAUUAGAUACCCGGGUAGUC